UGCUGAUGAUGAGUCUACAAUUGAGCAACUAUUGUUGACCAAUUCUGAUUACACAACUAAAAAUCAAUGUAUUGAAGUGCUUCACAAAUCAACUCAAACCAGAUGGCUUUACUACCCGAGUGAACUAAAAGAUCACAAACAUCCAAGCUUCAAGUCUUACCCCCAUCCCCACUGAAGUCAGGUUUCACACUUUGAGAGGAAAGUGAAAAUUGGAUUUCCUGUGACAUGCCAUUCAUCUGUUUGUUUUGAAAACCCUUAAAAACCCAUGAAGAGAACACUGGACUUGAGAGUUCAUGAAGAAAAUGGAUACUGCCAAGGAUUUGGGAACACU